rnacentral:lncRNA from 1 species
AUCUCCAAAUACUGUAUUUCUUCCAGCUAAUUUUUCAGUGAUUGUAACAGAUGCCAUCUAAUUAUUCAUGAUCAUGUUUCUUAAGAGAUCUUGCCAUGGCAGCAACUUGGUUAAAUAAUUACAUAUGCACAAUUCAUAACUUAAUAGGUUUAAAUCUAGUCAUUGAUUAGAUUUUGUAGUAUUCGGAAUAGAAAGUGUUAUUUUCUAGCAGCAAUUUAGUCAAUUGUAUUUGAACCAAUUUAUUGUCAGAAUUCAGAUAGGGUAGAUUUGAUACUUGAUGUUUCUUGUUCUGGGAUAUUCGUAACUUUUAGAAUCCUAGAACACCAUUAAUGAGUCUUCCCUUCAAUAAAUGUACUUCUCACAUACCUCUAAUCCUAUGCUUCCUUGAAACAAUAAUACGCUAGCCAGGUUGCUUACUAAGGAUUGUUAGGAGGGCAUGGAGGUACUGGGAGGGGUAAAUAUUGAAAGCUUGAUCUCUGGUGCAAGGGGAAAAUAAAUAGGCACUAAGCCUGCACAGGCAGAAAACACGGAUUUCCUAAGUAGCCCAAAACAGUAUUGCUUUCUCUCCCUUUUCACAUAUGCCACUGUGCCCUUUAGAUCUUGACCUGGAAACCUCAGGUUUGUGGACUGCGCAGCUGAGUGGCAUUUUGUGCUUCCUGAAGCUCCCCUUUGCUAGGUACAUUACCUUAGUGCUUCAGACGUCAGCCUGAGGCCUUGCUACCUCCAUUUGCUGCCCAGGGAAGAGUUUGUGCUGGAGCUGGGUGGAGCUCUGGCCCUCCUCACGUGAUGGUCUGAGUCUGCAUUUUAAGGGACAUGAUCCCAGAAAUGUACACACUUAUCUAGUUUUAAAGGAGAACUGUGGAUCUCUCAGGCCAGGAUUUUGUGACUGAUUUUUAAUUACUUGGUUAAUACCUAGAGCCCAUUAUAAAAAAACAAGAUUAAUGAGAACUGGCAAGAUUUGAUGUUUUUGGCCUAAUUCCAAAGCAUGGAUGCUUUGGAAGGUAGGAAGAAACCCUGUUCUUAUGAUUUGUAGCUACCUUCUGCGCCUGACUUGGUGCCGUGUGAGAGUUAAGCCCUUAGUCUGCUCUUGCAAUUACUCAAAUGACUGAAGUUUAAAUUUUUUGUUUUGUAACAAUAAAAAUUGUCAUCUUUCCUUUUGAUGUGCUUGUCUGUUUAUAAUCACAUUGCUGUACUCUGUGUUACUUUCUCUAUAUUUUUGUAUCAGGCAUUGGAAAUAUCUAACAGACUUGUUGGAUGGACCUAACAGGUUGUUACCUCCGAGUUUAAAACAUGUUUGCUUGGUGUGUGAGGCUUUUGUAUGGUUAUAUAUAUAAUGACCUUACAGAACAGAAACAAGCCUCCAGGAAGGGUUAUGAGAUACUUGAUGAUAAAUAACAUCACAGUGUAGUUUUCUAUGAACAGUAGAACUGGAGAGAUUAAAGAUUAUUCUGUCCAAGCUAUGAACCUUAAAAAUUCAGGAUUUUUAAUAAAGAUCAAGAGACC